rnacentral:rRNA from 1 species
AGAGUGAACGCUGGCGGUAGGCCUAACACAUGCAAGUCGAACGGCAGCACAGUGGUAGCAAUACCAUGGGUGGCGAGUGGCGGACGGGUGAGGAAUACAUCGGAAUCUACCUUUUCGUGGGGGAUAACGUAGGGAAACUUACGCUAAUACCGCAUACGCCCUUCGGGGGAAAGCCGGGGAUCGCAAGACCUGGCGCGGAUAGAUGAGCCGAUGUCGGAUUAGCUAGGUUGGUGAGGUAAUGGCUCACCAAGGCGACGAUCCGUAGCUGGUCUGAGAGGAUGAUCAGCCACACUGGAACUGAGACACGGUCCAGACUCCUACGGGAGGCAGCAGUGGGAAUAUGGACAAGUGGGCGCAAGCCUGAUCCAGCCAGUACCGCGUGGGUGAAGAGGCCUUCGGUGUAAGUCCGUUUAGUAGGAAAG